AGAGAGAGACAUGCGCGCAUAUCAAUAAGCGGAGGAAAAGAAACUAACAAGGAUUCCCUUAGUAACGGCGAGUGAAGCGGGAAGAGCUCAAAUUUGAAAUCUUCAAGGUUUUACCUUGACGAAUUGUAGUUUAAAGAAGUGUUUUCUGCUGAAGUUUUGGUAAAAGUUCUUUGGAAUAGGACAUCAUAGAGGGUGAGAAUCCCGUAUUUGACCAUUAUUUUCAGCUUUGUGAUACACUUUCAAAGAGUCGGAUUGUUUGGGAAUGCAGUCCAAAAUGGGUGAGUAAAUUUCAUCUAAAGCUAAAUAUUGGCGAGAGACCGAUAGCGAACAAGUACCGUGAGGGAAAGAUGAAAAGAACUUUGAAAAGAGAGUUAAACAGUACGUGAAAUUGUCAAAAGGGAAGCGUUUGACACCAGUGUUGUUUUCUCGAAAAUCAAUUAAGAAUGGCUCGAUUUUGUAUUGCUGAGACCUUAAAAGCUCACUGUACAUUUUUCGUGUCUUUUUUAAUGCACUUUUCCGUUUAACAAGUCAACAUCAAUUUCUUUUGUUGUAAAAGGGUCAUUGGAAGGUGGCUUUCUUUUCGGAGAAAGUGUUUAUAGCCUUUGGCCUCUGCAAUCGGAAGAGACUGAGGUCUGCAGCGUAGACUCUUCGGGGUUAGAUACAUUUGUGCUAAGUUAUAGCUUUUUAUAGACAACUUGUUGACUAUAAUUAGUCUUGUAGCUUACUCGCUUAUGCUAUUUUACCUACGCUUAGGAUGUUGAAGAUGUAGCACAUCAU
rnacentral:rRNA from 1 species